AUAAUAUCACUAUGUACAACUAUUUGUUGAUUACAUCUCUUUAAAUCUCUACAUUCAAUUCUCUUGUAGUAUGGAAUGUACCUAAUGUUGAACUUUACUGCUGAUGAACCCAACAUUUUGGUGACGUCAUCAAUUUCUAACAUGACGUCACAAAUUAUCAAAAGAGCAAGAUGACACUCAAGAAGAAGAACCUGUGUGUUUUGGUAACAUUACUAUGUUUCUUCCUAAUGUUGAUCAGACAUCUGCUGAGUGAUGAUGAAGACAUCUCUACACUCUCCGCUCUUCCUCCUUGUUAUACUGGAGAUUCCCCAAGAAUUCUGAUCGUGGUUACAAGCAAAGUUCAAGACGAUGUGUUAAGAAACAUAUUCAGGGAAGGACCCAUGAAACACACUUGGAUCUCAUGCUCAGGCAAGAAGUUGGACGUACAAUGGAGGUUUUCUCUGCAGUACACCUCGUCUCUGUACGAAGGAUACCUUCCGUACCAUCUGACCCUGGAGAGUGAGACACAUCAGGAUCUGAUAGAGAACGUGAACACUCGCUACUCAAAUAAAGGAGCUAGACUCCGAGUUCUCGAAGGGAUUCUCAGCAACUUCGACUGGGAUUAUCUUAUUAAAAUAGGUGAUGAUACUCUGAUCGAUCCUGUAAGGAUUUUAAACUAUUUAGGGGAUUCUGGAUCACACUAUUACGGAGGAUUGGUAGGGAUACACCAGGCUAGCGUUCCAUACACUUUAGAAAGUUUAUCUAUUUAUAGUCGUACUACCCUAAUGAAUAUUUUGGCAGCUCUCAAAUUUGUUGAGAGAGAGCCUAAUAACGAUGAUGUGACUGUUGGCAAGAUUGCAACUGCUCUGAAACUUCAGCCCUCACAAAUUGGUCGAGGAUUUAAUGGGAGUAUUAUAAUUAACUAUCGGGCAGUGUGCAGGGAAGCAGUAUUUAUUACAGAUGUGCCUAAUAAACAGUUAACUGACGGAUAUCACAGUUUGAUUACACGUGGUACAUUUUGUUGAAAUUACAUUAGAGAAUGAUGGGUGUAUACUGUAUAUAAUGCAUAUUAUAUUGUAUCUCCGUUGUCUCCCUGGUUCUGCUCCUAUUCCUGAUCAGCUCCAUCUGCUCUGAUCAUUUAUCCAUCUCUUUCUCUCUAUUUCAGACUGAUCACCUCACUGAAUGUCGUGUUUCGUAAUAUAAUCAUAAUUUAUUGAUUUGAUGUCUAUGUUUACAUUUUUAUUUGAUUGCUCUGGAUUCAUUGAAUUUA